GACGAACCGUGCGAACGUUGUUCGGAAUCACUGGGCUUAAAGGGCGCGUAGGCGGGCCAUCAAGUCAGGGGUGAAAUCCUCCAGCUCAACUGGAGAACAGCUUUUGAUACUGGUGGUCUCGAGUGGGGUAGGGGCAUGUGGAACUUCCGGUGGAGCGGUGAAAUGCGUAGAUAUCGUAAGGAAGACCAGUGGCGAAGGCGGGUCUCUGGACAGUUCCUGACGCUGAGGCACGAAGGUCAGGGGAGCAAACGGG
rnacentral:rRNA from 1 species